GCGAGAGUGGCGGAACGGCAGACGCACCGGACUUAGAAUCCGGCGGUAUCAUCCGUGGGGGUUCAAGUCCCCCCUCUCGCACCA
rnacentral:tRNA from 1 species